UACGGGGGGGCGAAGCGUUGUUCGGAAUUACUGGGCGUAAAGGGCUCGUAGGCGGCCAACUAAGUCAGACGUGAAAUCCCCAGGCUCAACCUGGGAACUGCGUCUGAUACUGGAUGGCUUGAAUCCGGGAGAGGGAUGCAGAAUUCCAGGUGUAGCGGUGAAAUGCGUAGAUAUCUGGAGGAAUACCGGUGGCGAAGGCGGCAUCCUGGACCGGCAUUGACGCUGAGGAGCGAAAGCCAGGGGAGCAAACGGG
rnacentral:rRNA from 1 species